GAACGCUGGCGGCAUGCCUAACACAUGCAAGUCGAACGGCAGCAUUGUCUAGCUUGCUAGACAGAUGGCGAGUGGCGAACGGGUGAGUAACGCGUAGGAAUAUGCCUUAGAGAGGGGGAUAACCUGGGGAAACUCAGGCUAAUACCGCGUAUUAUCUUAGGAUGAAAGCUGGGGACCUUAUGGCCUGGCGCUCUGAGAGUAGCCUGCGUCCGAUUAGCUAGUUGGUGGGGUAAAGGCCUACCAAGGCGACGAUCGGUAGCUGGUCUGAGAGGAUGGUCAGCCACACUGGGACUGAGACACGGCCCAGACUCCUACGGGAGGCAGCAGUGGGGAAUAUUGGACAAUGGGGGAAACCCUGAUCCAGCAAUGCCGCGUGUGUGAAGAAGGCCUGCGGGUUGUAAAGCACUUUCAGUGGGGAGGAGGAUUGCCAGGUUAAGAGCUAGGUAAUUGGACGUUACCCACAGAAGAAGCACCGGCUAACUCCGUG
rnacentral:rRNA from 1 species